rnacentral:rRNA from 1 species
GUAGGGAAUCUUGCGCAAUGGGCGAAAGCCUGACGCAGCCAUGCCGCGUGAAUGAUGAAGGUCUUAGGAUUGUAAAAUUCUUUCACCGGGGACGAUAAUGACGGUACCCGGAGAAGAAGCCCCGGCUAACUUCGUGCCAGCAGCCGCGGUAAUACGAAGGGGGCUAGCGUUGCUCGGAAUUACUGGGCGUAAAGGGAGCGUAGGCGGAUAGUUUAGUCAGAGGUGAAAGCCCAGGGCUCAACCUUGGAAUUGCCUUUGAUACUGGCUAUCUUGAGUAUGGAAGAGGUAUGUGGAACUCCGAGUGUAGAGGUGAAAUUCGUAGAUAUUCGGAAGAACACCAGUGGCGAAGGCGACAUACUGGUCCAUUACUGACGCUGAGGCUCGAAAGCGUGGGGAGCAAACAGGAUUAGAUACCCUAGUAGUCC